CAUGCAAUGAAGAAACUCUAUGGGGAAGCUUCUCUCCAAAGGCUGCCUCUUCAUAGAGAAACUCAGAGCACCUGAUUUUCUGCCCUCCUUCCCUCACUUGCCCCCUUUCCAGCCAGCGAGAGGGAGAACCGCAAAGCUGAUCGUGAUCUUGGGCUCCAGGAAGGCAGGAGAGGUAGUAGACAAUUGCCUGACAUUUGGCAUGUGUUUAGUAAAUGUGGAAGAGAGGAAGGAGAAAGCCAUCACCUGAGGAUCAGGAAGCUCACGUUCAAGUCCUGCCCCUCCCUUUACCAGGUGAGAAAACCACGUCUCAGAGAGGUGAAGUUACGAGCCCAGGGACACACAGCAGAUGGUGGUGGAGUCUAUUUGAACCGAGGCAGGUUGGCUGCCGGCCUGCACUUUUGGCUCCGUGGACCGUGUGCUGAGUUGGACUUGUGCUGGGCACUGGGGACCAGGAGCUGAAGGACACACACUUCCUGCCCUUGAGAUGCCCGCGGUGCAGUGGGGAGGCAGCCACGUCCCGGACAAUCGCAGCGAGGCUGCUGACCGCUGCUCAGUCCCCUCCAGCCCAGAAUCUCUGUCACCACCCGACUGCCCACCUUCUGAGAACGUUAUUGAGGUGGAAUUCACAUAAGAGAGAAUUAACCAUUUUAAAGUGAAUAAUUCAGUGGCAUUUCAUACAUUCACAGUGUUGUACAACCAUCAUCUCUAUCUAGUUCCAAAACAUUUCCAUCAUCCCGUUUCUCUUCCUCCCAGCCCAGCAGCCACCAGUCUGUGUUCUGUCUCUAAGGAU